rnacentral:tRNA from 1 species
AGGGGUGUGGCCUAAUUGGUAAGGCAGUGGUCUCCAAAACCAAAGACUGCAGGUUCGAGUCCUGUCACCCCUG